CUACGGGAGGCAGCAGCAAGGAGUUUUCGGCAAUGGGCGCAAGCCUGACCGAGCAACGCCGCGUGCGGGAUGACGGCCUUCGGGUUGUAAACCGCUUUUCGGGGGGACGAUAAUGACGGUACCCCCGGAAUAAGCCCCGGCUAACUCUGUGCCAGCAGCCGCGGUAAGACAGAGGGGGCCAGCGUUGUCCGGAGUUACUGGGCGUAAAGCGCACGCAGGCGGCGGCUUAAGUGUCGUGUGAAAGCUCCCGGCUCAACCGGGAGAGGCCAUGGCAGACUGGGUCGCUUGAGCGCCGGAGAGGUCUCUCGAAUUGCCGGUGUAGUGGUGAAAUGCGUAGAGAUCGGCAGGAAGACCAAGGGGGAAGCCAGGAGACUGGCCGGCAGCUGACGCUGAGGUGCGACGGCGUGGGGAGCAAACCGGAUUAGAAACUCCAGUAGUCC
rnacentral:rRNA from 1 species